CCUACGGGAGGCAGCAGUGGGGAAUAUUGCACAAUGGGCGAAAGCCUGAUGCAGCAACGCCGCGUGAGCGAUGACGGCCUUCGGGUCGUAAAGCUCUGUCCUCAAGGAAGAUAAUGACGGUACUUGAGGAGGAAGCCCCGGCUAACUACGUGCCAGCAGCCGCGGUAAUACGUAGGGGGCUAGCGUUAUCCGGAAUUACUGGGCGUAAAGGGUGCGUAGGUGGUUUGUUAAGUCAGAGGUGAAAGGGUACGGCUCAACCGUAGUAAGCCUUUGAAACUGGGGGACUUGAGUGGAGGAGAGGAGAGUGGAAUUCCUAGUGUAGCGGUGAAAUGCGUAGAUAUUAGGAGGAACACCAGUUGCGAAGGCGGCUCACUGGACUGUAACUGACACUGAGGCACGAAAGCGUGGGGAGCGAACAGGAUUAGAUACCCGUGUAGUC
rnacentral:rRNA from 1 species